GUAGGAAUAGCAUAAUAAGUGUGUUUUGUUUACACCAAAAAGGUAUUUUUCUUGAUUUCUUACU
rnacentral:tRNA from 1 species